UCUCCGUAGGUGAACCUGCGGAGGGAUCAUUACAGAGUUCUCGCCCUCGCGGGUAGAUCUCCCACCCCCUGUUAUCGUUACUGUGUUGCUUUGGCGGGCCGCCGGGCCCCGCUCGGCCGCCGGCUCCGGCUGGCGCGCGCCCGCCAGAGGCCCAGCAAACUCUGAAUGUUAGUGUCGUCUGAGUACUAUAUAAUAGUUAAAACUUUCAACAACGGAUCUCUUGGUUCUG
rnacentral:misc_RNA from 1 species